rnacentral:ribozyme from 1 species
GGAAGGUCGGAGAAGGGAGCUUUGGCAAGGCCUUGCUCGUGGAGGCAGUUGAUGGAACGCGCUUGAUCAGCAAGCUGGUUGAUGUCAGCAAGGCGAGCGCGAAGGAGUUGCAAGAUGCCAUCAAG